rnacentral:rRNA from 1 species
GUGUCAGCCGCCGCGGUAAUACGGAGGGGGCUAGCGUUGUUCGGAAUUACUGGGCGUAAAGCGCACGUAGGCGGACUGGAAAGUCAGAGGUGAAAUCCCAGGGCUCAACCUUGGAACUGCCUUUGAAACUAUCAGUCUGGAGUUCGAGAGAGGUGAGUGGAAUUCCGAGUGUAGAGGUGAAAUUCGUAGAUAUUCGGAGGAACACCAGUGGCGAAGGCGGCUCACUGGCUCGAUACUGACGCUGAGGUGCGAAAGCGUGGGGAGCAAACAGGAUUAGAUACCCCCGUAGUCC